GACGGAGGGUGCAAGCGUUGCUCGGAAUCAUUGGGCGUAAAGGGUGCGUAGGCGGCUUCUUAAGUCUGACGUGAAAGCCCAGGGCUCAGCCUUGGAAGUGCGUUAGAAACUGAGAAGCUUGAGUGCCGGAGGGGAGAGUGGAAUUCCUGGUGUAGCGGUGAAAUGCGUAGAUAUCAGGAGGAAUACCGGUGGCGAAAGCGACUCUCUGGACGGCAACUGACGCUGAGGCACGAAAGCGUGGGUAGCAAACAGGAUUAGAUACCCUGGUAGUCCACGCUGUAAACGAUGGACACUAGGUGUCGGGGGUAUCCACUCCCUCGGUGCCGCCGCUAACGCAUUAAGUGUCCCGCCUGGGAAGUACGGCCGCAAGGUUAAA
rnacentral:rRNA from 1 species